GAUGAACGCUGGCGGCGUGCCUAAUACAUGCAAGUCGAGCGAACAGACGAGGAGCUUGCUCCUCUGACGUUAGCGGCGGACGGGUGAGUAACACGUGGAUAACCUACCUAUAAGACUGGGAUAACUUCGGGAAACCGGAGCUAAUACCGGAUAAUAUAUUGAACCGCAUGGUUCAAUAGUGAAAGACGGCUUUGCUGUCACUUAUAGCUGGAUCCGCGCUGGAUUAGCUAGUUGGUAAGGUAACGGCUUACCAAGGCGACGAUGCGUAGCCGACCUGAGAGGGUGAUCGGCCACACUGGAACUGAGACACGGUCCAGGCUCCUACGGGAGGCAGCAGUAGGGAAUCUUCCGCAAUGGGCGAAAGCCUGACGGAGCAACGCCGCGUGAGUGAUGAAGGUCUUCGGAUCGUAAAACUCUGUUAUUAGGGAAGAACAAAUGUGUAAGUAACUAUGCACGUCUUGACGGUACCUAAUCAGAAAGCCACGGCUAACUACGUG
rnacentral:rRNA from 1 species